AAGUUGAUCACUGUGUUUUGGCAUCUGUUUUUUUUCAUUUUCAGUGUGGCUGGGAAGUAUAGAGUCGCACUGCUCAGUGUCAGGCUUGUGUUUUGUUGUUUUUUUUGCCAUCCGAUGGCCUCUGGGAAGUGAGGAAUUUGAGCAAUUUGUUGGUUUUCACGAAUAAGGCAGGCUUUGAGCCACUUUGAAAGCUUGGAUUAAUUUUUUUUUUUUUUUUCUUGUAAGGGGGUGUAACUCCAACCAGGUCUUCAGGGCCACUCUAGCUCUUCCCUCCGAUUCUACCUCACACCACAGAGGCAGACAUGAUCAUCAGACUGGGCAGGCUGACACCCGGAUACUUCCGCCUCCUCCAGAGGCAAGUUGCCGGUGAGGUGCAGACGCAACCACAAGACCGUACCGUCAACCAGAUAGCCAUGAUGCUGGCCAUCAUGGGCCUGAGUUUGUCCUACUACAGUGCCAAACAGAUGACAGAGAAGGUCCAGGCCCCGCCUGCACCCUGAAGAAAGUUGACUACUCUGAUCAUGGAGAUAAUGGAUGAACCAAUGAGAAAUGAAGGAGGUGGAGCAAGAAGGCAGACGCAGGGCCGCACUUUUCUCACCACAGUCACACUAGACACUGGAUUUCUGUGAUCCCUCCCUCACCAUGCCCGGAGGUUUCAGGGCUGCUGCAAAGUGUUUACUAUACUUUCUGUUGUCUGGACCUUGAGUGUCUUGUGGGGAUCACUUACUUGGGGUCAUGGAUAGGAUUGGUUUUAUGAGCUGGUUUGGGUGGGCGAUCAAAACUAGCCGUCUGCCAACUGGGUCUUACCGUUAGUUGUUACAAAGGUACAUGCUUGCAAGAUGCUGUCAAUACUGUUCUGAGCUACUGGGGUGAGGAGCUCUAAACUGUGAAAUUUGCUAUUGCAGAAAAUAGUAUUAAAUAACAUGAACAGUAAUACCCCUUUUAAGGGAAUGCUGACUGCAAUUUGAGAUGUGCCUUGUAACAAAGUGAUGGCAGGCCCAAAACAUGGGGAUGAAAAGUUAGCUCAACCCUUUUCUGUAUUUGUCUUUUUUUCUCCUUCAUGAGAGAACCUUGCAGAGCCUUGUGAACAGAUCGGGAGCCGUAUUCACAAACUGUCAAUAUAUACACUUGUGAAAUGUAUCUGUCAGCCAUUCAGUGAAUAUUUGCACAAAAGAGCAGAGAUACUACAAAGGGACUUAAAACAAAAAAAAUAAUGGCUAUUUUCUGUGAUUUGACACUGUUUUAAUAUUAAUCAAUGUCCUGUAAUAAGAUGUGACUAACUUGAUAAGCAUCUUGGUUAAGAACCUUUCCUGCAGUAUCUACUACGUGUUAAUGCAAACAUUUCACCAAACAUUGCAUGAGUGUGCAGACUUUUAAUCAAAGCAAAAUCAUGUUUUUAUUGAUGAAUGUAUUUUUGUAAUGAUUUAAUAAAGCUGUGAAUAUUAAAUGAGAUAUACAGUG